rnacentral:rRNA from 1 species
GCUUAUGGCCACACCAGUGUGAAAGCGCCCGAUCUCGUAUGAUCUCGGAAACUCAACACACUUGGGCUCGAUCGGUACUUGGAUGGGAGACCACCUGGGAACCCUGAGUGCUGUAAGCU